rnacentral:RNase_P_RNA from 1 species
GGAGCCGGCCAGACAACCGCUGCCGCGCGCGUCCCAAAACGCGUGCGGGGGAGGAAAGUCCGGGCUCCGCAGGGCAGUGUGCCAGUUAACGGCUGGGCGGCGCGAGCCGACGGAAAGUGCCACAGAGAACGAACCGCCUAAGUCCGCAGCCGCGGGCCGGCAAGGGUGAAAAGGUGCGGUAAGAGCGCACCGCGUCCCUGGCAACAGGGGCGGCACGGAAAACCCCACACGGAGCAAGGCCAAAUAGGGAAGGUGGGCUGAGGGCCGAAACGCCCUGGCCCGACGCGCGGCCCGCGCGCCUUCCGGGUAGGCUGCUGGAGGUGCCGGGUGACCGGCGCCCUAGAGGAAUGGUUGUCGCGGCGGCGUGCGCGUCGUCGAACAGAACCCGGCUUAUCGGCCGACUCCCACU